GACGAACGCUGGCGGCGUGCUUAACACAUGCAAGUCGAACGGUGACGAGGAGCUUGCUCCUCCGAUCAGUGGCGAACGGGUGAGUAACACGUGAGUAACCUGCCCCAGACUCUGGGAUAACAGUUGGAAACAGCUGCUAAUACCGGAUACGAGACGGAGAGGCAUCUCUACCGUCUGGAAAGUUUUUCGGUCUGGGAUGGACUCGCGGCCUAUCAGCUUGUUGGUGAGGUAAUGGCUCACCAAGGCGACGACGGGUAGCCGGCCUGAGAGGGCGACCGGCCACACUGGGACUGAGACACGGCCCAGACUCCUACGGGAGGCAGCAGUGGGGAAUAUUGCACAAUGGGCGAAAGCCUGAUGCAGCGACGCCGCGUGAGGGAUGACGGCCUCGGUUGUAACCGUACUUUCCUAGCAGGGAAGAAGCGAAAGUAGACGGUACCUGCAGAAGAAGACACCGGCGUAACUACGUAGCCAGCAGCCGCGGUAA
rnacentral:rRNA from 1 species